UACGAAGGGGGCCGGCGUUGUUCGGAAUUACUGGGCGUAAAGCGCACGUAGGCGGAUGUGUCAGUCAGGGGUGAAAUCGCGGGGCUCAACCUCGGAACUGCCUCCGAUACAGCACAUCUAGAGUUCGGAAGAGGUGAGUGGAAUUCCUAGUGUAGAGGUGAAAUUCGUAGAUAUUAGGAAGAACACCAGUGGCGAAGGCGGCUCACUGGUCCUGUACUGACGCUGAGGUGCGAAAGCGUCAGGAGCAAGCAGG
rnacentral:rRNA from 1 species